rnacentral:pre_miRNA from 1 species
UGGGUUUGUCCUAAGCUAAACUUCUUCACGUUUGACAAACUUUAUAGAAAAGUUCAGCAGCAUUUCCAACACAAAACAAAUAUAAUACGAAACUAUAUUCAAUGGUGAACUUAACGAAACUAAUUUUAUGCUGUAGAUGUCACUAUGUUUUUCUAUAAACUUGGUCAAACUUGAAGGAGUUUGACUUAGGACAAACCCGA